CCUACGGGAGGCAGCAGUGAGGAAUAUUGGUCAAUGGGCUUACGCCUGAACCAGCCAAGUCGCGUGAGGGAAGACUGCCCUAUGGGUUGUAAACCUCUUUUGUAAGGGAGCAACGCCGGCUACGUGUAGCCGGACUGAGAGUACCUGAAGAAAAAGCAUUGGCUAACUCCGUGCCAGCAGCCGCGGUAAUACGGAGGAUGCGAGCGUUAUCCGGAUUUAUUGGGUUUAAAGGGUGCGUAGGCGGAAUGCCAAGUCAGCGGUAAAAUCGCGGGGCUCAACCUCGCUCCGCCGUUGAAACUGGCGGUCUUGAGUGGGCGAGAAGUAUGCGGAAUGCGUGGUGUAGCGGUGAAAUGCAUAGAUAUCACGCAGAACUCCGAUUGCGAAGGCAGCAUACCGGCGCCCAACUGACGCUGAAGCACGAAAGCGUGGGUAUCGAACAGGAUUAGAUACCCCAGUAGUC
rnacentral:rRNA from 1 species